UAGAAUGCAUGAAUGAAAGAAAGAGCCUU
rnacentral:piRNA from 1 species